UUCACCCGCGACAUAUAACCUGACCGAGUGAGCAGCUGGUGUCAGUCAACGUUGAGGACUUCUGAGUUUCCUUGAAGUUCCAGUAUAAUGUUUCCUCUACGCUCUCUUUUGAUGAUGUUUACACUCCUAGCUGCCGUGUACGUAGCCGUGGCACUGCCCAGUCGUGGUUUCGGACAUAGCGGUAGAUACGGAAAUGGUGGAUUCGAACACGGGCAUGGAUCCCAUGGUCACGUGAUACACAGGCCAAUUUUCCGUCCUUCGUACAAUCCUCACGGUUCCUUCCAUCAUCGUGGAUAAAAAAAUUACCUUGUCUUCAUCCCAACCUUGGACACUGGACCGCCUCUGGUAGCUAAGGGCAAGUGAGGACUUCACCAUCAUCUUUACUAACUCUCUUA